GACUCCUACGGGAGGCAGCAGUGGGGAAUAUUGCACAAUGGGCGAAAGCCUGAUGCAGCGACGCCGCGUGAGGGAUGACGGCCUUCGGGUUGUAAACCUCUUUCAGCAGGGAAGAAGCGCAAGUGACGGUACCUGCAGAAGAAGCACCGGCUAACUACGUGCCAGCAGCCGCGGUAAUACGUAGGGUCCGAGCGUUGUCCGGAAUUAUUGGGCGUAAAGAGCUCGUAGGCGGCUUGUCGCGUCGGAUGUGAAAGCCCGGGGCUUAACCCCGGGUCUGCAUUCGAUACGGGCAGGCUAGAGUUCGGUAGGGGAGAUCGGAAUUCCUGGUGUAGCGGUGAAAUGCGCAGAUAUCAGGAGGAACACCGGUGGCGAAGGCGGAUCUCUGGGCCGAUACUGACGCUGAGGAGCGAAAGCGUGGGGAGCGAACAGGAUUAGAUACCCUGGUAGUCCACGCCGUAAACGUUGGGAACUAGGUGUGGGCAACAUUCCACGUUGUCCGUGCCGCAGCUAACGCAUUAAGUUCCCCGCCUGGGGAGUACGGCCGCAAGGCUAAAACUCAAAUGAAUUGACGGGG
rnacentral:rRNA from 1 species